rnacentral:rRNA from 1 species
CGAGCACGCGCGUGUGGCAUAUCAAUAAGCGGAGGAAAAGAAACUAACAAGGAUUCCCUUAGUAACGGCGAGUGAAGCGGGAAGAGCUCAAAUUUGAAAUCUUCAAGGUUCUACCUUGACGAAUUGUAGUUUAUAGAAGUGUUUUCUGUUAGUGGAGUGGCAAAAGUUCUUUGGAAUAGGACAUCAUAGAGGGUGAGAAUCCCGUAUUUGGUCAUUCCUCCUAGCGUUGUGAUACACUUUCAACGAGUCGGAUUGUUUGGGAAUGCAGUCCAAAAUGGGUGGUAAAUUUCAUCUAAAGCUAAAUAUUGGCGAGAGACCGAUAGCGAACAAGUACCGUGAGGGAAAGAUGAAAAGAACUUUGAAAAGAGAGUUAAACAGUACGUGAAAUUGUCAAAAGGGAAGCGUUUGACACCAGUGUUGUUUUUCCGAAAAUCAAUUACGAAUGUUUUGUUUUUGAGGAGUUAUGACUUCAUCGGCUUGCUCCUUUCUUUACGAAACUUUCUUAAUGCACUUUUCGGUUAACAAGUCAACAUCAAUUUCUUUUGUUGUAAAAGGGUAUGAGGAAGGUGGCUUUCUUUUCGGAGAAAGUGUUUAUAGCCUUGUGCCUCUAGCAAUCGGAGAGAUUGAGGUCUGCAGCGUAGAUCCUUCGGGGUUAGAUACGUUUGUGCUAAGUUAUAGCUUUUCAUAGACAACUUGUUGACUAUGUUUAGUCUUGUAGCUUACUCGCUGACGCUAUUUUACCUACGCUUAGGAUGUUGAACUCUAUCACACACA